rnacentral:rRNA from 1 species
UACGUAGGUCCCGAGCGUUGUCCGGAUUUAUUGGGCGUAAAGCGAGCGCAGGUGGUUUAUUAAGUCUGGUGUAAAAGGCAGUGGCUCAACCAUUGUAUGCAUUGGAAACUGGUAGACUUGGGUGCAGGAGAGGAGAGUGGAAUUCCAUGUGUAGCGGUGAAAUGCGUAGAUAUAUGGAGGAACACCGGUGGCGAAAGCGGCUCUCUGGCCUGUAACUGACACUGAGGCUCGAAAGCGUGGGGAGCAAACAGG